AUGUCCGCCCUUUCCAUCCUCCACAGGGCUUGCCUCCGACUCGCCCUGCUCCCGCUCCCGCUCGCGCCUCUGCGCGCUCCCCUUCGCUCCUCUAGUCUUCCGCGGCCGCUCCGCCUGCCUCGCCGGACCGCCAUGAGCUCCGCCGCCUCCAGGAUGUCCCACAUCGCCGCCGCCGCAGCCUCCGGGGAGUCCAAUCAGCCGGCGGCUGCGUCCGGCUUGGGCCAGGAAGACGACGAUCUUUCAUUGGGCUACCGCCUUCCCCCCAAAGAAAUACAGGACAUUGUUGAUGCACCGCCACUUCCUGUUUUGUCGUUCUCACCAAGCAAAGACAAGAUUCUAUUUCUCAAACGUCGAGCGCUUCCACCACUAUCUGAUCUCGCAAAGCCUGAGGAGAAACUUGCUGGUGUGAGGAUUGAUGGCCAUUCUAAUACUAGAAGUCGAAUGUCUUCCUACACUGGAAUAGGUAUCCAUAAGCUAAUGGAUGAUGGAACUUUGGGCCCAGAGAAGGUGGUCCAUGGAUACCCUGAAGGAGCAAAGAUUAAUUUUGUUACCUGGUCACAUGACGGUCGUAAUCUAUCAUUCAGUGUUCGAGUUGAAGAGGAGGACAACAAAAUCAGCAAGCUAAGGGUAUGGAUUGCAGACGUGGAAUCUGGAGAAGCACGACCACUUUUUAAAUCUCCUGAUAUAUACUUGAAUGCUAUUUUUGACAGCUUUGUAUGGGUUGAUAACUCUACUUUGUUAGUCUGCACCAUCCCUGUAUCACGUGGAGCUCUACCACAGAAGCCAUCAGUUCCAUCUGGUCCAAAAAUUCAGUCUAAUGAGACAAAGAAUGUGGUCCAAGUGAGAACAUUCCAGGAUCUUCUGAAAGAUGAAUAUGAUGCUGAUUUAUUUGAUUACUAUGCAACCUCACAGCUCAUGUUGGUCUCUUUGGAUGGAACUGUGAAGCCAAUGGGGCCUCCUGCUGUAUACACAUCCAUUGAUCCAUCACCAGAUGACAAAUAUUUGAUGCUUUCUUCUAUCCACCGUCCAUAUUCCUAUAUUGUACCCUGUGGAAGGUUUCCAAAGAGAGUUGAAUUAUGGACUGCAGAUGGUAAGUUUAUUAGGGAACUUUGUGACUUGCCCCUUGCAGAGGACAUACCAAUUGCGACGAGCAGCGUGCGCAAGGGAAAACGUUCAAUCUAUUGGAGGCCAGACAAACCUUCAACUUUGUAUUGGGUGGAGACACAGGAUGGUGGAGAUGCAAAGGUUGAAGUUUCACCACGUGACAUAGUUUACAUGGAAAAUGCUGAGCCCAUAAAUGGCGAACAACCAGAAAUUCUACAUAAACUUGACCUCCGAUAUGGAGGAAUCUCUUGGUGUGAUGAAUCUCUUGCUUUGGUGUAUGAAUCAUGGUACAAAACUCGGAAAACAAGAACAUGGGUGGUUGCUCCAGACAAGAAAGAUGUCAGUCCGUGCAUUUUAUUUGACAGAUCUUCAGAAGAUGUGUACUCUGAUCCUGGUUCGCCAAUGCUGCGAAGAACUGCCAUGGGAACAUAUGUUAUUGCAAAGGUUAAUAAACAAGAUGAAAGUACUUACCUCUUGCUGAAUGGAAUGGGUGCCACACCAGAAGGAAACGUUCCAUUCCUUGACUUGUUUGAUAUAAACACUGGAAGUAAAGAGCGAAUAUGGGAAAGUGACAAGGAAAAAUACUUUGAAACUGUUGUUGCCUUGAUGUCAGACAAAAUUGAUGGGGACCUUCCCCUUGACCAGUUAAAGAUACUUACAUCAAAAGAAUCAAAAACAGAAAAUACACAAUAUUACCUACAAAUUUGGCCGGAAAAGAAGCAAGUUCAGAUUACAAAUUUUCCCCACCCAUACCCCCAGCUUGCUUCAUUGUAUAAGGAAAUGAUAAGGUACCAGCGCAAAGAUGGGGUUCAACUUACAGCAAAGUUGUAUCUACCUCCAGGUUAUGAUCAAUCAAAAGAUGGACCUUUGCCAUGUUUAGUUUGGUCAUACCCUGGUGAGUUUAAAAGCAAAGAUGCUGCGGGACAAGUACGUGGUUCCCCUAAUGAGUUUUCAGGGAUUGGUGCUACAUCUCCUCUUCUUUGGUUGGCUAGAGGGUUUGCUAUUCUUUCAGGUCCGACAAUCCCGAUUGUUGGUGAAGGUGAUGUAGAGGCGAACGACAGUUAUGUGGAACAGCUAGUAACUAGUGCAGAGGCUGCCGUCGAGGAAGUUGUCAGGAGAGGGGUGGUCCAUCCUGAUAAAAUAGCUGUUGGCGGUCAUUCGUAUGGUGCAUUCAUGACAGCAAAUCUCUUAGCUCAUGCUCCUCAUCUUUUCUGCUGUGGAAUUGCUCGUUCCGGAGCUUACAACAGGACGUUAACUCCAUUUGGGUUUCAGAAUGAGGACAGAACACUUUGGGAGGCAACUAACACCUAUGUGGAGAUGAGCCCUUUCAUGUCGGCUAACAAAAUCAAGAGACCAAUAUUACUUAUUCAUGGGGAGCAAGACAACAAUUCUGGAACACUGACAAUGCAGUCGGACCGAUUCUUCAAUGCGUUGAAGGGUCACGGUGUACAGUCUCGUUUGGUAAUACUUCCUUUUGAAAGCCAUGGGUACUCUGCCAGGGAGAGCAUUAUGCACGUGCUUUGGGAGUCGGACAGGUGGCUGCAGAAGUACUGUGUAAACGGCACUAGCAAGGCUGAUUCAGAGACAGCAGCUGAUGGAGAAAGUAAAACAUUGGCAGCCAGUGGUGGUGGAGCAGCACCUGAAGGUCUAAGCUCCGACGGAUUCUCAUCAAUCCCACGAUCGCUUCUGUGA
rnacentral:rRNA from 1 species